AUUGAACGCUGGCGGCAUGCUUUACACAUGCAAGUCGAGCGGCAGCGCGGGGGCAACCCUGGCGGCGAGCGGCGAACGGGUGAGUAAUGCAUCGGAACGUAUCCUCGAGUGGGGGAUAACCCAGCGAAAGUUGGGCUAAUACCGCAUGAGCUCUGAGGAGGAAAGCGGGGGACCUGCGAGGGCCUCGCGCUGGAGGAGCGGCCGAUGUCCGAUUAGCUAGUUGGUGGGGUAAAGGCUUGCCAAGGCGACGAUCGGUAGCUGGUCUGAGAGGAUGAUCAGCCACACUGGGACUGAGACACGGCCCAGACUCCUACGGGAGGCAGCAGUGGGGAAUUUUGGACAAUGGGGGCAACCCUGAUCCAGCCAUGCCGCGUGAGUGAAGAAGGCCUUCGGGUUGUAAAGCUCUUUCGGACGGAACGAAAUGGGCGGGACUAAUACUCCUGUCUGAUGACGGUACCGUAAGAAGAAGCACCGGCUAACUACGUG
rnacentral:rRNA from 1 species